GAUCAGCCGUACUCCGAAUGCAUCUCAGAUUAGAGUUUGAUCAUGGCUCAGAAGCGAACGCUGGCGGCAGGCCUAACACAUGCAAGUCGAGCCGGUCGUAGCAAUACGGCAGCGGCCAGACGGGAGAGUAACACGUGGGAACGCGCCCUUCGGUUCGGAAUAACUCAGGGAAACUUGGGCUAAUACCGGAUACGCCCUUACGGGGAAAGAUUUAUUGCCGAAGGAACGGCCCGCGUCCGAUUAGCUUGUUGGUGAGGUAACGGCUCACCAANGCGACGAUCGGUAGCUGGUCUGAGAGGAUGACCAGCCUCACUGGGACUGAGACACGGCCCAGACUUCCUACG
rnacentral:rRNA from 1 species